UUUAACAAUAAUUCCUAUUUAUUGAAUAUAUGGUUUCUUGCAACUCUUAAUUAAGUGCUAAAAAGUAUUUAAUUAAAUUGACAAAACAUAGAAACUUUUUUAUAAAGAGAUCAAACAACUUUAUUUAGUACAUGCAAAGGAGGGAAACAUGACUCUAAUUCCAUGUUUUUUGCAUGCUUUGAUCAUCUUUCUUUCUCUAUUUCUUAUUGCAACCAAAAUUGGUUCUAUUCCCUGCUCCAAAACUGCUGAUUGUCCAUCAAAUAUGUGCGACGGUGCUCCUCGAGUUCCAUGGUGCGUUGAUUUUUAUUGUGAGUGUAUGUAAGUGUAACAAUUAAUUUGAAAAAUAAUUCUAUUGUUUUUAGGUACAAAAAAGUGAACAACAAACAAAUAUAAUUUUGUUAUGUGUAAUUGUAUGAUUUCAUUUUUACGUCGUAAUGUUAAUUAAUACUUUUUCUCA